UCCCGCACAAGUCGGCUGGAUGCAAUUGCGGAAUUAAUUCGAUGCAAUCGCGAAGAAUCCUUACCAAGGUCUUGACUAUAUACGAGAACGGGCCAGAAAUGGUCAACUCUUGUGGACAACUCGUAUAACAUGGUGGUGCAUGGUUGUCGUCAGCUCGUGUCGUGAGAAUGUUGGGUUAAGUCCCGCAACGAUGCGCAACCCUCGUUCUAUGUUGCCAGCACGUAAUGGUGGGAACUCAUGGGAUAUCUGCCGGGGUCAAUCUCGGAUGGAAGGUGGGGAUGACGUCAAAUCAUCAUGCCCCUUAUGUCUUGGGCUUCACGCAUGCUACAAUGGCCGGUACAAAGGGCUGCAAUACCGCGAGUGGAG
rnacentral:rRNA from 1 species